UAUACCUGUUCGGUCUCUUUA
rnacentral:miRNA from 1 species